CUCACAGGCAACCAAAGCAUUGAUUGGUCAAUUGUGUUGCUUUAAUCUAGAAUAAAAACUACUUUGAUCAAACCGAGUCUACGCUGAGACAGGGAACACAUAAUGGUAUUUCUCCAGUUUCAGUGGUCCCGUAAAUUCCAAUCUUUGUAUGUUCUAAAGCUCUCCCAAUGCUUGAAGGUAAACUACAGACGGACACUGUACUUACAGUGCAUUGAUAGGUGUCUGCUACAUGACGGGGCCCGAGAGGCUCAAAUGUUGUCUGUGAUUGCUGUAUCUCUCAGGCAUAUUAAUUAUGAAUCCCUUUGUGGUAUCAGUCUCAUGGGUUAAUGGUAUAGGUUCCCUCUGUAAUGUCUGUGAGCAAGAAUGUGUUUGAGAUCCAAGCAGGAACUAACCAUAAGGAAAGUUUUAUGGAAAGAAAGUUGGGCACCACAUCAGGUUCGAUAGGGAAAAACAGAAAGCAGACAACGGAAAAUGUUCCAAUAAUGUAGAAUUCUCUGAAAUGUGGAUAAAUGUAUAAGAUUAAUAAAACGCACUUACAUUUUCCAGAGCUAACAUCUAGCUCAAAUCCUUACACUUGGGCAAAACAAUCCCCACUUAUGGAUGUUAUUAAGCUUGAAAUUCUAUGGUGUAAGCCCUCAACAGGAC